UACAGAGGUCUCAAGCGUUGUUCGGAAUCACUGGGCGUAAAGGGUGCGUAGGCGGCGCGGAAAGUCAGAUGUGAAAUCCGGAGGCUCAACCUCCGAACUGCAUCCGAUACUCCCGCGCUAGAGGGUUGCAGGGGAGCUUGGAAUUCUCGGUGUAGCAGUGAAAUGCGUAGAUAUCGAGAAGAACACUAGAAGCGAAGGCGAAGCUCUGGGCAACAUCUGACGCUGAUGCACGAAGGCUAGGGGAGCAAACGGG
rnacentral:rRNA from 1 species